CCUACGGGCGGCAGCAGUGGGGAAUAUUGCACAAUGGGGGAAACCCUGAUGCAGCAACGCCGCGUGAGUGAAGAAGUAUUUCGGUAUGUAAAGCUCUAUUAGCAGGGAAGAAGAUGACGGUAUCUGAUUAAGAUGCCCCGGCUAACUACGUGCCAGCAGCCGCGGUAAUACGUAGGGGGCAAGCGUUAUCCGGAUUUAUUGGGUGUAAAGGGAGCGCAGACGGGAGGACACGUCUGGAGUGAAAGCCCGGGGCCCAACCCCGGAACUGCUCGUGAAACUGUGCGGCUAGAGUACUGGAGGGGCAGGCGGAAUUCCUAGGGUAGCGGUGAAAUGCGUAGAUAUUAGGAGGAACACCAGUGGCGAAGGCGGCCUGCUGGACAGUAACUGACGUUGAGGCGCGAAAGCGUGGGGAGCAAACAGGAUUAGAUACCCUAGUAGUC
rnacentral:rRNA from 1 species